UUGACCUCGGAUCAGGUAGGAAUACCCGCUGAACUUAAGCAUAUCAAUAAGCCGGAGGAAUUAAGCAAUUACCAG
rnacentral:rRNA from 1 species